rnacentral:rRNA from 1 species
UACGUAGGGUGCGAGCGUUGUCCGGAAUUACUGGGCGUAAAGAGCGUGUAGGCGGCCUGAUAAGUCGGCUGUGAAAGUCAAGGGCUCAACCCUUGAAUGCCGGCCGAUACUGUCAGGCUAGAGUCCGGAAGAGGCGAGUGGAAUUCCCGGUGUAGCGGUGAAAUGCGCAGAUAUCGGGAGGAACACCGGUGGCGAAGGCGGUUCUCUGGGCCUGACCUGACGCUGAGGAGCGAAAGCGUGGGGAGCGAACAGG